rnacentral:tRNA from 1 species
CCGACCUUAGCUCAGUUGGUAGAGUGGUGGACUGUAGUUGGACUAAUCUAAAUUGGAAAUCCUUAGGUCGCUGGUUUGAUUCCGGCAGGUUGGA